UGAGGAAUAUUGGUCAAUGGGCGCUAGCCUGAACCAGCCAAGUAGCGUGAAGGAUGAAGGCUCUAUGGGUCGUAAACUUCUUUUAUUAGGGAAUAAAGUGGAGAACGUGUUCUCCUUUGUAUGUACCUUAUGAAUAAGGAUCGGCUAACUCCGUGCCAGCAGCCGCGGUAAUACGGGGGGUGCAAGCGUUGUCCGGAAUCACUGGGCGUAAAGCGUUCGUAGGCGGUAUGUCAAGUCUGGUGUUAAAGCCCGAGGCUCAACCUCGGUUCGGCAUUGGAUACUGGCAAACUAGAAUGUGGUAGAGGUAAAGGGAAUUCCUGGUGUAGCGGUGAAAUGCGUAGAUAUCAGGAGGAACAUCGGUGGCGAAAGCGCUUUACUGGACCAUUAUUGACGCUGAGGAACGAAAGCCAGGGGAGCAAAUG
rnacentral:rRNA from 1 species